UUCGAUUAACGCGAAGAACCUUACCUGGCCUUGACAUCCAGAGAACUUAGCAGAGAUGCUUUGGUGCCUUCGGGAACUCUGAGACAGGUGCUGCAUGGCUGUCGUCAGCUCGUGUUGUGAAAUGUUGGGUUAAGUCCCGCAACGAGCGCAACCCUUAUCCUUUGUCGCCAGCGGGUAAUGCCGGGAACUCAAAGGAGACUGCCGGUGAUAAACCGGAGGAAGGUGGGGAUGACGUCAAGUCAUCAUGGCCCUUACGGCCAGGGCUACACACGUGCUACAAUGGCGCAUACAAAGAGAAGCGACCUCGCGAGAGCAAGCGGACCUCAUAAAGUGCGUGUAGUCCGGAUCGGAGUCUGCAACUCGACUCCGUGAAGUCGGAAUCGCCAGUAAUCGUAGAUC
rnacentral:rRNA from 1 species